rnacentral:rRNA from 2 species
UACGGAGGGUGCGAGCGUUGUCCGGAAUCAUUGGGCGUAAAGGGCGCGUAGGUGGCCCGGUCAGUUCGUGGUGAAAGCGCGGGGCUCAACCCUGCGUCGGCCAUGAAUACUGCCGCGGCUGGAGCACUGUAGAGGCAGGCGGAAUUCCGGGUGUAGCGGUGGAAUGCGUAGAGAUCCGGAAGAACACCGGUGGCGAAGGCGGCCUGCUGGGCAGUAGCUGACACUGAGGCGCGACAGCGUGGGGAGCAAACAGG